rnacentral:rRNA from 1 species
AGUGAACGCUGGCGGUAGGCCUAACACAUGCAAGUCGAACGGCAGCACAGUAAGAGCUUGCUCUUACGGGUGGCGAGUGGCGGACGGGUGAGGAAUACAUCGGAAUCUACUUUUUCGUGGGGGAUAACGUAGGGAAACUUACGCUAAUACCGCAUACGACCUACGGGUGAAAGCAGGGGAUCUUCGGUCCUUGCGCGAUUGAAUGAGCCGAUGUCGGAUUAGCUAGUUGGCGGGGUAAAGGCCCACCAAGGCGACGAUCCGUAGCUGGUCUGAGAGGAUGAUCAGCCACACUGGAACUGAGACACGGUCCAGACUCCUACGGGAGGCAGCAGUGGGGAAUAUUGGACAAUGGGCGCAAGCCUGAUCCAGCCAUACCGCGUGGGUGAAGAAGGCCUUCGGGUUGUAAAGCCCUUUUGUUGGGAAAGAAAAGCAGCAGGUUAAUACCCCGCUGUUCUGACGGUACCCAAAGAAUAAGCACCGGCUAACUUCGCG